rnacentral:rRNA from 1 species
CACGUAGGGCGCAAGCGUUGUCCGGAAUUAUUGGGCGUAAAGAGCUCGUAGGCGGUCUGUUACGUCUGCUGUGAAAACCCUGGGCUUAACCCUGGGCUUGCAGUGGAUACGGGCAGACUAGAGGCAGGUAGGGGAGAAUGGAAUUCCCGGUGUAGCGGUGAAAUGCGCAGAUAUCGGGAGGAACACCGGUGGCGAAGGCAGCCUCCUGGGCCAAUACUGACGCUCAUGCACGAAAGCGUGGGGAGCAAACAGG